GUCUGUUUAGGUCUAUUAACGUUUAUUUUUUGUUUGUAUUAAUUUCCAACGAUGCCGUUCAAUACUAUAUUAUAGAUCAAAAUCAGCAAAAAAUGUCCAUCCUGGUCAGGUGGAAUAAAACCUUCAUAUGGAAAGUUUUAUUCCACUUGAUUGCAGGGCAAUUUUUAACUAUGUAUAACAACUGGGGCAUUUACCCCAGUAGGCCCUUUGCUUGCCCCAGUAGUGCUACUAGUUAGUGAAGCAAUGUUUUCAGAUAAGCUGGGCCCUUUCGAUCAUUAGUGAAGAGUCAUCCUUGCAUGUUGAAAAAGCUUCAUCUGCCUGCUUUCUCAUAUCCUCUCACAUUCUCGACAUUUCAUCUUAUGAAAGCCAUCACAGCAUGAACAGCAUGGUCUUUUUAUGUACGCGUUAUUGUGUGCAGGGACGUAGCUAGAUGCGAUAUUGGGGGGGAGGGUGUAUAUUCAUAUAUUCAUGUUCACAUACCGUACAACAAUCGCUUUCAAAAGAAAUCCGUCGGGCAGAACACUAAUACAUGAUGAUGCCCCCCCCAAUUAGAGAGUU